UUCCCUCUUGGGAAGAAUGUGGAGGAAAAGAAUAGUACACAGAUUAUUGACCUCAUUGAGCAGAAACUUUUUGUUUCAGGCAAAUAAGGAGUUUUAUCCUAUUGUUCAAACAUGUGUAAAAGAGAAGUCAAGAAAUUCCGCAGAAAAUCCUUUUAGGCAUAGGCUGACCUUUGACCACUGAACUGCCUUCCAUUGUUCUCUAGGAAAAGGAGAAAUAGAAUUUGGAGAGACAGUUCUGGUUACAUCAUAAGAGCUUUCUUUUUCCUGGUGUUUGUUUUCUUUGGCUGGUAGUGCACAGCUUCUUGUGGAAAAUAAAUCCCUUGGUAGUGUUUGUGUUUCUUGUAUGUGUGUGGGACUAUUUGGCUCAAAGCAAGUUCAAGCCAAAUCAAGAGUUCCAGUGUGUGCUGAACCUAAGCAGCCUUUACCUUGAACAUAAAGAACAUGGUCCAUCGGUUCUCCUGGCCUUCCCAGCGUUUCACCAGUGAUGCAUGCCGAAAUCCAUCACACAGGAAUGCGUCACUUCAUUUGACAUGGAUCCUUGCCCAGAAACUUGGGAUAUACAUCAUACUUGAACUGAAAGUGUUAUUAACACAGAUGAAGCAAACCAGAAGCAAUUUGGUAACCCAUUCUCAUGAUAUGGUGUGGAUUGUGUUUUUGUCACUUCCAUCUCCAUUCUAAUGGGACAAGAACAACAGAAGACAGAUCACCUGCAUGAUAUUUCGCUUAACCUUUGGGAAGAUGAAGAGAGUGUUGAUGUGGUAAGAAUGUGCACAUGAAGAUUUACCAAUAUGAGUUUUCAGUAUAAUAAUUAAAGCAUUUGUUUAGAUGGAAAGUUAGAUAACUCACAGACUCUGAGGAGUUAUUAUACCACACAACUAUUGUAAAAUUUAAAAAGGUAGCUGAAUCAGUAUUGGCUUUGCUCUUAUUUUCUCCUCUCUCUAUCUAUCUAUAUAUAUGGCAACUUUAAAACAUAGUUUCUAUAUUCUAACGUUAAAACCAAUAUGAACCUGGUACAUACAACCAGGAAAAAUCAUGAAAGACUUUGUGAAAGAGGCAAAAAUGAUUAGUGGAUGUCCUAACUUACGUCUCCAUCAAUUCACAGCAUUGCACAUUAUUAUCUUCCACAUGCGAAUGAAUUCUUUCUAGGGAAGGGGCUAUUGAUUUCCCUUCCUUCUUAUGAAGAAAAAAAAGCCAAUUUUACCUCUAUUUAGAAGUUAAUUUUGGCAUUCCUGAA
rnacentral:lncRNA from 12 species